CGGCCGCGUCGACCUGGCGGCGUGCUUAACACAUGCAAGUCGAACGGUGAACUCCGCUUGCGGGGGGAGUCAGUGGCGAACGGGUAGGAGUAACAACGUGGGCGAGCCUCGCCCUCCAGCUCUGGGAGUAACUACCAAGAAAUUAGGGGUCGUAAUAACUGGAUAUGACUGCUGACCGCAUGGUCUGGUGGUGGAAAGAUUUAUCGGCGUGGGAGUGGCCCGCGGCCUAUCAGCUUGUUGGUGGGGUAGUGGCCUACCAAGGCGACGUCGGUACGCGGCCUGUGAGGGUGGACGACGACACUCGGAACGGUGUAGACACGCCAGAU
rnacentral:rRNA from 1 species